rnacentral:rRNA from 1 species
AAUGAACGCUGGCGGCAGGCUUAACACAUGCAAGUCGAGCGGAGUGAUGGUGCUUGCACUAUCACUUAGCGGCGGACGGGUGAGUAAUGCUUAGGAAUCUGCCUAUUAGUGGGGGACAACCUCUCGGAAGGGAUGCUAAUACCGCAUACGUCCUACGGGAGAAAGCAGGGGAGCACUUGUGACCUUGGGCUAAUAGAUGAGCCCAAGUCGGCUUAGCUAGUGGGUGGGGUAAAGGCCUACCAAGGCGACGAUCUGUAGCGGGUAUGAGAGGAUGAUCCGCCACACUGGGACUGAGACACGGCCCAGACUCCUACGGGAGGCAGCAGUGGAGAAUAUUGGACAAUGGGGGGAACCCUGAUCCAGCCAUGCCGCGUGUGUGAAGAAGGCCUUAUGGUUGUAAAGCACUUUAAGCGAGGAGGAGGCUCUUUUGGUUAAUACCCAAGAUGAGUGGACGUUACUCGCAGAAUAAGCACCGGCUAACUCUGUGCCAGCCGCCGCCGUAA